UAGGUGAACCUGCGGAAGGAUCAUUAAUGAAAUUAUAAUCCGGCGAGGGGAAGGACGAGAGUUGUCGCUGGCCUUUCGCGAGGCAUGUGCACGCUUUCUUCUGGACUUUCGCCGUAUGGGCGCGGGGCGACCCGCGUCUUCAUGCACCUCUUCGUGUAGAAAGUCUUCGAAUGUUAUACUAUCAUCGAGUCGCGACUUCUAGGAGACGCGGUUCUUUGAGACAAAAGUUAUYACAACUUUCAGCAACGGAUCUCUUGGCUCUCGCAUCGAUGAAGAACGCAGCGAAUCGCGAUAUGUAAUGUGAAUUGCAGAUCUACAGUGAAUCAUCGAAUCUUUGAACGCACCUUGCGCUCCUCGGUGUUCCGAGGAGCAUGCCUGUUCGAGUGUCAGUAAAUUCUCAACCCCUCUCGAUUCGUUUCGAGCGGGCGUUUGGAUAGUGGGGGCUGCCGGAGACCUGGAUUUAUUUCGGGACUCGGGCUCUCCUGAAAUGCAUCGGCUUGCGGUCGACUUUCGACUUUGCAUGACAAGGCCUUCGGCGUGAUAAUGAUCGUCGUUAGCUGAAGUGCAUGAAUGAACCGUCCUGCGCCUCUAAUACGUCGACGCUUUCCAGCGUCUUCCUUAUUGACGUUUGACCUCGAAUCAGGUAGGACUACCCGCUGAACUUUAAGCAUAUCAUA
rnacentral:rRNA from 1 species